CUCGGGGGCAGAGUGACAGGUGGUGCAUGGUUGUCGUCAGCUCGUGUCGUGAGAUGUUGGGUUAAGUCCCGCAACGAGCGCAACCCUUGAUCUUAGUUGCCAGCAUUCAGUUGGGCACUCUAAGGUGACUGCCGGUGACAAACCGGAGGAAGGUGGGGAUGACGUCAAAUCAUCAUGCCCCUUAUGACCUGGGCUACACACGUGCUACAAUGGGCAGAACAAAGGGCAGCGAAGCCGCGAGGCUAAGCCAAUCCCACAAAUCUGUUCUCAGUUCGGAUCGCAGUCUGCAACUCGACUGCGUGAAGCUGGAAUCGCUAGUAAUCGCGGAUCAGCAUGCCGCGGUGAAUACGUUCCCGGGCCUUGUACACACCGCCCGUCACACCACGAGAGUUUGUAACACCCGAAGUCGGUGAGGUAACCUUUUGGAGCCAGCCGCCGAAG
rnacentral:rRNA from 1 species